rnacentral:rRNA from 1 species
AUGCUCUUUAAAUACAUCCAGGUUGAAAAGUCUUUACAUUAUACAGUGUUCCAAGCGACGGUAGUACUAUUUUGUCCUGCACGCAUGCGCACGUACACUGCUCUGCAGCGGCGUGUCAGCCUGUCUGUCAGUGCGCGGUACUUCAAAUACAUCAAUACGCAGCAUUUGGCUCACCAGCGGAGCUCUAUACUCAAAGUAGCACAUUUGGCUGCUGCGAAUCGCGAGGCUGUGCGUGCCGUAGAUGGGCUGCGUGCAGAUGCCACUGCAUGCAGCAAUGCACUUCUCAAGCUCUGUUGUACUACUUGA